rnacentral:SRP_RNA from 1 species
GCCGGGCAUGGUGGCGCAUGCCUGUAAUCCCAGCUACUCAGGAGGCUGAGGCAGGAGAAUUGCUUGAGCCUGGGAGGCAGAGGUUGCAGUGAGCCAAGAUCAUGCCACUGCACUCCAGCCUGGGUGACAGAGCGAGAUUCCGUCUCAA